UACGUAGGGUGCGAGCGUUGUCCGGAAUUACUGGGCGUAAAGAGCUCGUAGGUGGUUUGUCGCGUUGUUCGUGAAAACCUGAGGCUUAACCUUGGGCGUGCGGGCGAUACGGGCAGACUGGAGUACUGCAGGGGAGACUGGAAUUCCUGGUGUAGCGGUGGAAUGCGCAGAUAUCAGGAGGAACACCGGUGGCGAAGGCGGUUCUCUGGGCAUGACCUGACGCUGAGGAGCGAAAGUGUGGGGAGCGAACAGG
rnacentral:rRNA from 1 species